rnacentral:rRNA from 1 species
UACGUAGGGGGCUAGCGUUGUCCGGAAUCAUUGGGCGUAAAGCGCGCGUAGGCGGUUUGUCGCGUCUGCCGUGAAAGUCCGGGGCUCAACUCCGGAUCUGCGGUGGGUACGGGCAGACUAGAGUGAUGUAGGGGAGACUGGAAUUCCUGGUGUAGCGGUGAAAUGCGCAGAUAUCAGGAGGAACACCGAUGGCGAAGGCAGGUCUCUGGGCAUUAACUGACGCUGAGGAGCGAAAGCAUGGGGAGCGAACAGG